rnacentral:tRNA from 1 species
GCGGACGGGUUUUUGGACUGGCCCGCACGUCGGCGCAUGACAAGAUGCCGUCCGGACGCCUUUCACAACCUUGCCAAGGUGAGGGUUCGGGUUCGAAUCCCGUCGUCCGCUCCA